rnacentral:lncRNA from 1 species
AAAAAUAAAAACAGAAAGAUAAAAACAGAAAGAUAUAUAGAAAGAAAGAUAGAUAGAAAGAUAGAAAGAUAAAGAGAUAGAAAGACAAAAAUUCUAAUCGGUUAAGAAUCACAUGUAAGAUUCGCAAUAAAUAAAAUAAUUAUUGAUUUUAGUAUUUUAUUUAAUUGCGUGAUUUAUAAUUUUACGUGGUCAAUUGUGAUGUGUUAUUGGAUAAUGAAAUUAUGGUAGAAUGAAUAUGAAUUUAUUUAAAUUUAGUUCUAUUAUUAUAUUUCAAAAUUUUUGAAGAAAAACCUAAAUACUAAUGUUUGUGUUAUUGCCUCAGAGAAUCUGAGUUGACCUGGUAAUAGAUGAAUGAGUUUCUGUGUGUACAUGAAUCGUGUUUAAUUUCCUACAGCCUAGUAAGGCUUUUCAUUUUGAUGAGGUAUGGUGGGGUCCACGAAAGUGUGAUUGGAAAAGAGGUGGAUCAUUAUGGUGUUAUGGGAAGUAAGAGAGAGAAAAGAGAAAAUUGUUUACUAUUUUUUUUUUGGAUACGUGAUAGGGUAGGAAAUAUAGGGGGGCCUUGGUCUUCGGUUUUAUUUAUUAAGUAAUUAUUUUGUUUGGAGAGUGGCAUGCAUGUAGAGGUAUUUUUUCUAACGGAUGCAACGGGAGAAAAUAAGGAAGUGGGUUUGGGCUUUAGGAUUUUUCUGAAGGCUUAUAAAUUAGCUUGGAGGAAAAGGAUAGAGUAAGAAAACAAAACCCUAGUUUUUGUGAGUGAAAAAUUAUGACUGGGAAGGAGAAGCAAGCAACAGCUGUGACAAGAAAGGUGAUCGUCAACGUUUUAUUUACAUCCGGAACAGUGAGGAAAUCCAAGGUAAGGGGAGUAACUAGUGUGUGUUUAUAUAUUGUGUGAUGUUCUUGAUCAUCUUAUUACUUUACUUUGAAUCUUUUCCCCUUGUGGUUAAGAUGGGGUAGCCCUUAUCAGGUUAAUUGGGAUACAUUCCAGACUUAGGAGAAAGUCAAUGAAAUAAAUGUAAAGAUGUAUGCGUGUUUGUAGUACGUGAAAGAAUAAGGAGAAGAAAGGAGGUUGCAUAUAGAAGGGUAUAACUUUCUUGGUAUAGCGGGAUCUGUUGCGAGUUAGUGGUACAAAGAUAGUUUAGGGUACGAGGAGUAGUUCAGGAAAUAUCAUGUGAAAGUAGGGUUUGGGAAUGUUGUUACAUUGCAUGGCGUGGUGAUAAAUGUUUUGUUUCUUUGAUUGUGAAACUGGUAGGGAGUAAACUGAAAUUCUCUGUGGUUGUAUAGGUUUUAAUCUUUGACUAUUAGUAAUGCUGGACGUGUAAUGUAUACCUAUUUAAAUAUGAGUGUAUGCUUCGUGAGAGAAUGGUGUAGUUGGAGGAGGGUCUGUGACCCUAUUCGAAUAAGGUGAAGGAGGAAAGGGUUGUUUGUGUGGCAUAUGAUGGAGAGAUGUGUAAGGGGUCAUAACAGUAGUAACAGAGAAAGAGAGAAUUUUUGGAGAAAGAUUUGGGUUGGAGUUUACGUUUACUAGUGGGGAAGUUGUCCGUAAGGAGGUUUAGUUUUCUCACAUUCUGCAUGGGAAGGAGAAGUUCUGCAUCAUGGGCGCGCUAUAGUUCACGUGAAUGAGAGUGUUGUAUGUUAGAAGGGAGGAUUGGUUGGGGGUUGAUUGAUGUCCAAGUUGUGUAUGUUGCAGUAAAUGAGAAACCAGUGAGUGUAUAAGAAGGAAAGGUGGUAGGUAUGGUAGAUAUUUUACAAUAGGAUGUAUCCAGUAAUUGGACUUUUGCAUGCAGAAUAUGAAAAAAAAAAAGGGGGUCACUUAGAUUGAAGUAUAAGGAAAAGGUAAAAGGGUAUGAACCUUUCAUUUGCCACGGUCAUUUCAAUCCUAAAAAGGCUUUACUAGUUUAGCUCCAGAGAAUAAUAUACUUAAGUUGAUAUAAUAUAAUAUAUUAAUAUAUUUUGAAUUUAUAAGUAUAUAAGUAAGCAACAAGUAGUUACGUAACUUAACAAUAUUAUAAUAUAAGUU